AUUGAACGCUGGCGGCAGGCCUAACACAUGCAAGUCGAACGAGUGGCGGACGGGUGAGUAAUGUCUGGGAAACUGCCUGAUGGAGGGGGAUAACUACUGGAAACGGUAGAUACUACCGCAUACCAUCGGAUGUGCCCAGAUGGGAUUAGCGAGUAGGUGGGGUAAUGGCUCACCUGGGCGACGAUCCCUAGCUGGUCUGAGAGGAGGACCAGCCACCCGGGAACUGAGACACGGUCCAGUCUCCUACGUGAGGCAGCAGUGGGGAAUAUUGCACAAUGUGCGCAAGCCUGAUGCAGCCAUGCCGCGUGUGUGAAGAAGGCCUUCGGGUUGUAAAGCACUUUCAGCGGGGAGGCGUUACCCGCAGAAGAAGCACCGGCUAACUCCGUGCCAGCAGCCGCGGUAAUUC
rnacentral:rRNA from 1 species